ACGUAUGGUGCAAGCGUUAUCCGGAUUUACUGGGUGUAAAGGGAGCGCAGGCGGUGCGGCAAGUCUGAUGUGAAAGCCCGGGGCUCAACCCCGGUACUGCAUUGGAAACUGUCGUACUAGAGUGUCGGAGGGGUAAGUGGAAUUCCUAGUGUAGCGGUGAAAUGCGUAGAUAUUAGGAGGAACACCAGUGGCGAAGGCGGCUUACUGGACGAUAACUGACGCUGAGGCUCGAAAGCGUGGGGAGCAAACAG
rnacentral:rRNA from 1 species